AAGACUAUACUUUCAGGGAUCAUUUCUAGAGUUUCUGACUGAGGAAUGUGUUUCUAAAGUGUUUGGUCUCGCUGACCACGAUGAUGAGUCGUGAUAUUCCUUUCUGAGCGUGAAACUGACAGAGAGUAAUGAUUCACUCAUAUGGUCUGUUGUGAUGAUUGAUCUUUGCUUCUGUAUGAAAUAUUGAGGAAGGGAAUAUGAUCAGAGUGGU